CGGGCGCCUGGAAGGAGCGUUCCGCCGCCGCGACCAUUUGCUGCUUCCUCCUCCUCCUCCUCUUCCUCCUCCUCCUCCUCUGGCUCCUCUCCUCCGCCCCCCCCCGAGCAGGGCAGGAGCUGGAGAUGGGGACGUGCGAGAUCACGGCGCUGGAUCGGGACCUGAGCCACCCGCGGCGGGCGAUCACCCGGCAGACGGCACGCUGCGCCUGCCGCCACGGCCAAGCCGCCGGCACCGCCCGCGCCAAGCCGGCCUGCGUGGAUGGUAACGGCAAUGCCGGGGAGGGGGGGAUCGGUGCUGCUCCGUGGGGUCCCACGGGAGAGGGGGGUGCAAGGGCCCAUGGCUGGAGAUGUGGGUCCUGGCUGGCGCAGUGGGGCUGGUGGCUGCUCUGGCCUGGAGUCGGAGCCUGGCAGUCCUUGACAGCCCCUUGUCCGCCCCUUUGCCCCGCCUCUGUCCUCUCCAUCUCCCUCUCCCACUUUCUCCCCACAAUUUGACCAUGGUCCUCUGCGCCCGUCUCUGUGGUCCCCAAAUUGGUCCUGUGCUGGAUGAGCUUAUGUGCUUCUUCCCUCCAUCUCUUCACCCAUCCCUCUGUCCAUCCCUUCAUCCAUCCAUUCCCCUCUGUGUCCUUCCAUCCACUCCCCUGUCCAUCCCUCCAUCCACUCAUCCCUCCCUCCCCUCCUUCCAUCCACACACGUAUCCCUCCAUUCAUCUACACAUCCAUCCCUCCCUGCAUCCACCCAUCCAUCACCCCUCCCUGCAUCCUUCCCUUCAUCCUUCCAUCCAUCCCUCCAUCCACCCACCCCUUCAUCCUUCCCUCCACCCACUCAUCCCUCCCUCCAUUUUUCCUUCCAUCUCCACCUCUCCACAUGCCUCCCCUGCUCCCAAAUAUCCCCGUCCCCGUCUCCCCCGUGCCUCCGGCAGCCCGGCUCAUCGCCAGCCGGCAGUGGUGCGGGAUGGAGCCGUGUGAGGAGGGGGAGCAGUGCGCUCUGCUCCGAAACCGCUCGGGCUGGAGCUGCAUGAGACGACUGGGACGAAUACAAACCAUCACGGUGUCCUGACCGCAGCCAGCGCGUGAGGAUGAGGGGACUCGCUCCGGAGCCGGCGGGACGAGCCCGGGCAGGGAGCGGGGUUUGCUCGGUGCUGCCGUGUCAUGGCCUUGAACCCCCCCGCCGGUGCCAGCCGAGGGACUGGCCGCCUCGGGCAGGGUGGCUGGAAGGGUCACUGGGCUCCCGUUCACCCCAUGGGCUCCCUUUGCCUGUGGAGGGUCCCCUGGGGCUCACCGUGGUGAGGAGGAGGAGGAAGAAGAAGCUGUUGGGGGUCCCAGUUUCCAGCUCCGACCCCCCCACCCGUCUGCAGGCCCUGAAUUUUGCAGCAGUUGAGCAGCAUUAUUGCCUGACCCGAAUUUGGCCGCCUCUCAGGGUGCAGGGAGC